GCAGACCCCUCGUGCGGCAUCAUCUCGCCGAACUCCCCCAGGGCCGGAAGGCAGCAAGGGUAGGUGAGCUCUGGUGGGUGUGCGGGGGGUCCUUCACA
rnacentral:SRP_RNA from 1 species